UAGCUCAGAUUUGACAAUCUAGCACUUUCAGUGUUCGAGUUGUAAUUUGAAGAAGGUAUCUUUGGAGUUGGCCCCCGUCUAUGUUCCUUGGAACAGGACGUCACAGAGGGUGAGAAUCCCGUGCGAUGGGGAGACCAAUUCUAUGUAAAGUUCCUUCGAAGAGUCGAGUUGUUUGGGAAUGCAGCUCUAAGUGGGUGGUAAAUUCCAUCUAAAGCUAAAUAUUGGCGAGAGACCGAUAGCGAACAAGUACAGUGAUGGAAAGAUGAAAAGAACUUUGAAAAGAGAGUGAAAAAGUACGUGAAAUUGUUGAAAGGGAAGGGCUUUUGAUCAGACUUGGUGUUUAGUACUCUCUACUCCUUGUGGGUGGGGCUCUUGCUUUAUACUGGGCCAGCAUCGGUUUGGAUGGUAGGAUAAUAGCAUUGGAAUGUGGCUUCAUUCGUGAAGUGUUAUAGCCUUUGUUGAUACUACCUAUCUAGACCGAGGACUGCGUCUUUUGACUAGGAUGCUGGCGUAAUGAUUAAAAGCC
rnacentral:rRNA from 1 species